UAGUGUCACAUUUAAAAAACCUUCAAAUUGCACUUUACCAAGUGCUUCUACUGUAACACUUUAUUUCUGUAUGGAUACUCAAAGAGCAGCAAAAACACAUCUGCUAUUACAGCUGAUGAAAUUCCAGCUGUAUCUGCUUGCUCUUGGUUAGGGCACACAGGAGGUAUGUGUCCUUUCCUCUGUCUUCUCAGUCACUGCCAAAGAAGGGGAUGACAUUUCCCAGCCUACCCUAUGAACCAAAUGACCUACUGAUAAACCAUCCACAAACAUCCAAAAGAGCUGGAAGAAUUAUGUCUAACAGUGAGUUACCAUACAGGAAGCCAAGGCUAGGUCCAGAGAUACACCUCUAAAGGUUUCCCAGGCACUCUUGGCUAUAACUCUAAUUGCAGCACAGAAAAGUUUUAACAGUAUGACAGUAGAAUUAAUACUGAUACUUUUCAGCAUCAUCAAUCAUCAGUGAGAAGGAGCAGAUCUUCCCCAAAAAUCUAUUUUCCUGAAGCACAUUUUGGAAGUGAUUUUGUCCUCUGACAUAAGAAAUAAAAAGCACAACAUAAGACAGAGGAAUGGGGAGUACAGGACUAAUCAUUUUCGUUCUUGCAAGUGCACAAAAGGAAGAAUUGGAACAAAUGUUAUAACAGGUUCUGUGUGGCAAAACCCAACAGUCUGGACAGAGUGUUGAGGCCUCACUACCAGGCUGCAUUAACAGAAGUAUGAUGUGAUGGCCACGAACACUCUCAUCACUAAAUGGGACCUGACUCAAGAGUACUGGAUCUUAAAGCAUGUUCUUAGCUAAAAGACUGAGACAAGCCCAUGAGACAGACUCCAUGGCUACAACUAUGAUAAAAAACUAACGUGGUGGGUUGACCCUGGCUGGAAAACAGGUGCCCAAAAAAUCUGCUCCAUCACUGCCCUCCUCAGCUGGGCAGGGGAGAGGAAACAAAAUGAAAAAACUAUUCAAGGUAAGGACGGAGAGAGAUUGCUCACCACCAACUGUAGCGGGAAGAACGGACUCAACUUUGGAAAAUUAAAGAGAAACAAAUCUAAAUCUUAAAUGUACUUUGCCACCACCCCUCCCUUCUUCCUGGGCUUAAAUUUACUCAUGAUUUUCUCUAUCUUCUCCUUCCCAGUGGAAGGGAUGGGGAUGGGGAAUGGGAACCGUGGAGUGUAGGAAUCCCCAGUAAUUAUUGCACAGGAUUAGUCCAGUGUUCCACAUUCCUCUGAUUGCACACAUAAGGUAUUCCUUGUAUUUUGAUUAAAGUCUUCUCUGUUCUUUAAGACCAUUUUUAUGCCAUUGUCAUGUAUUUAUACAAUUAGAUCUAAUUUAUACUAUUAGACCUAAUUACUUAAUUGUUGUAGCAUGCAUGAUGAAAUAAUGAGAAUGUGUAAUUUAGAUGUGCAAUUACAUAAUUACAAUGUGUAAUGACAUUAGGCAUAAAUAUCCCAAAAUGUUAUGGGAAAAAUAUACUGUUGAAAUAGAAGAAUUUUUUUUAGGUACUGCAUCGGUUUUAAACAAAGCAAACCAAACUAUGAAAUCAUUCCUCAAGGCUUAAGAAUGUUCUUCUUAUUUUUAGGUCCCCACUUAAAGCACUGACCAUUUUUAGCAGGAAAAUUUAUGUUUCAUACAAUUAAAAAGGGUAGGGAACUGCAUGGAAAAAAUAUAUAUGUACUGGGAUAACUGAGGUUAUCUUUAUUUGCUGUAUUUUAGAACAUCAGGGUCCAAUUUCCGUGUGUCUUUUUUUAUAAUCUGGAGAAAAACUGCAAAUUUAACUGUUGUAUACAAACCACAUAUCAACUUUAGAACUUAGUGUGGCUGUACAACAUGGAGCCAAUUAACUAACAAGGUAAUAAAUGAAAUAACUAAUUCCAGCCUUUAUCUGAACCCUGGUAUCAACUUCUCACAAAAAUACAAAACCAGAAAAAUAUCAUGCCCUCAGGAACCUCCUAAAGUACCUGUUUGAUCUUCCCAAGGUUUGGGACCUCCCCACUGCCUCCUCCUACCCUGCCCCUGAGAGAUCCCAUAGCUGCCCCCUGAAGUUUCCUAUAGGUCCCUAGGAAGACCUCCUACUGCAUUCUCAAUGGUGUAUCACAAAAGGUGAGAUGUCUCACUUGAAACCUGUUUACUUAUUAAAAUUAGAUUUAAUUCCUGUGAGCAUUUUAAACCCCAGAGAUACAGAAGGGUGAGAUGGAUUCCAUGGUAUCUGGGGCAACUUCAUUGCUGUUGGUAACAUACAAGCAUCCCAGACCAACCCUGAGCUCCUAAUGGAGCCAGCAAGUAGAGCAGUAAGAAUUUUACAAUCAAAAUAAUCAAUAGUGAUUAGAAUUUUUCUUUUCUUUAGAGAAAAUAUAUCUUGACAGAAGAUUUUUUUCUAGGUAAAUUUAAACUUCCCAAACACUUAUUUUGGCUAUAUUCCCACUCUGAAAAUUCAAAACAAAAAGUUAUUUUCACCUGUCAGUUCAGAAUGUUACUUCCUGUUGAUUUAAAAAGCCUUUCAUUAUAAUAUAUCAGUACUGAUGUCUUUUCAAUUUCUUCUCUGGGAAGUUUUAUUUUCAGGUACCUUUAUGUUAACCUUUAAUUUCACUAGAAGAAGGAAGGGGAGGGAAAAGAACAGCAUAAAUAAAAGUUUGGUAAAGUUGUCACGGCCAAAAUACUGAUGUUAAAACUGACUGAAUGCUGUAUGUGAAUUCCUACCACCAGUAUCUGAAGUAUAAUAUCUGAAGAGAAUUUGAAGUGAUAGAAAGGUAGAUAUUAUUUCUCCAUAAGGAAAACAAAGAGGAAUCCCAAACAGCUGAAGUGGGUGGCCAAGAAAGGAUAAAAGGAUCAAUGGAAGUAGGAGGACAGGGAAUACUUUACUUGCAGUGCUAAUUUCUAGACCUCCAGCCCCAAGACAUGGGGAGCCCAUACCAUACUGCCAGAGCUACGGAGGUGCAUUUCACUCCCUCCCAGGUGGGUGGUCUCUGUGGAGGAGAUGUUGCACAGGUAAUUAGGCUGGUGAUUUGAACCUCGCAGCAUCUGUCAGUUGCAGUUGCUGCUGAGGCAACAAAGCUUCUCAUGACAUACCAGUAUAUGCAACACCUACACGGCAGUGAAAUCCCAGCUGACCACAUGCCUUGAAGCUUGAGGUUUGUAGGCUUUAAAAUUUUGUUCUGAGAAAAACAACUUUAGAUGCAGCUUUUACAAAUCUUCCAUAAUGUACCUUUCUUUAAAAAAGGUAAUUCUAUUUCAAAACAAGUUAUAAAGUAACAUAAUUUUCCCUUAUUAAAGAGUUCUCAGAUAAUAGCACACUAUAGUUAGGCUUCUCAAAAUGUUCUUCUUCCUUUCUGAAUAUUUCAACCUCCAGUGUCAGACCUGAAGGCCUGUCU